GUUUGGAUCUGGGAUGGGCAGUUUGCUCACGGCAGCCCUCGGUUACUUAAGUCAAUAUGACAGACGUGCAGCUCUGAGUCAUGCCCAGCUGCAACCUUCACCCCCGUAAAUCAGCCUGGAGAUGUUUGGUUAUGGGGAGAACCCAAAGAUUUGGAAACAGGUGCCUUCCGAAGCAGCUUUUCAGUUCAAUAUUAAUGCAAAUUCCAAGUAAAUGCUGGUCGUUUGCAUACGGAUGUGCCUGAAGAGAUGCCAGUAAUGAUGCCAUGACCCCAAAUAAAUGCUGGCCCUUCUUGUAUGAGCACAGAAACCUCCGAUGUGCUCAGCUGGAAACGGGGGCUGUAGCUGUGGAGCAGAUGCCAACCAAACACCUCGCACUCGUGUUGUUCAUCUACGGGAGAGCCAGAAAACUCCCAGCCAUGACCUUCCUCCAGCUGAUCAGAGAUAACCGGGUAUCCGGGUAUCCAUUAGAGACUGGCAGAAAGUUAAAAACCAAAGGAAGUUAAAAAAUAAAGAAGGUAAAAACUAAGCAGCCCAUCUCUGGGUGUGCGUUACAGGCUGCUGUACGUGAUACUUAUAAUUAAAUUGCUGAAGAACCGGUUCUGGUUUAGGUUUACGCUCCCUCGAAAUCUACAGUGGAACACUGAUUGCCAGCUGAGCGAGUGCAAAAACUGGAUGAAAGGCAAAAAUUUUCAAGGCUUUUCCUUUAAUGUUUUCCUCUGUUGAAAGAGGACCUGAUGGAUUAGCCAGGCAAAUGGGCGGUACACGUAGGUAAACACCGUGCUGCUCAGCACGCUGAUCCCAAACCUCAGAUAAACAUUUGUGUCCAGUUAUUUCCUCCAAAAAGACUUCCAUGUGAAGGCGACUCAUCCCAUGUUGUACGCUUGGGUAUCUUUGUCUGCCAAGCACGCUGUGAUUUCUAAUACCCUGGUCUUCCCAGAUUUAUGGACGGAAUUCAAGGAAGGUGAGAAUAUACCCCCAGCAGUGCUCUUUUGAGGUCUGUGCAGCUCAUGUGUUGUUUUCAUCCUAUGGCAAAGCCUGGUUUUACAUGUUUUACUUGGACUGUGCAAAAUGACCGGGAGUCUGGGAAAAAAAAGAGGAAUAGAGAAUUACGCUGCUGGUUUUAGAGCUUGAGCAAACUGGGAGCAGAGCACUGGGGAACUGGGACUGAUGGCAGCUUUGAGUUUGGUCUAAACUCUUGAAAGGCAGCGCGCAGCAGUUCUUAUUGCCUUUUUGCAUGUGUGCGUGUCAAAGAGCAAACUAACUUUUUUGAGACCAGCUUUAUGCUUCCUGACGGCUUUUCUGAAGGAA